GUGAGGGCCAACCUGCACUUGGUAGUGGCCAUGUCCCCCAUAGGCGACACCUUCAGGACCAGGCUCAGGAUGUUCCCCUCCCUCAUUAACUGCUGCACUAUAGACUGGUUUACUGCAUGGCCUGAUGAUGCCUUGGAGAUGGUGGCCACAUCACUGCUGCAGGAAACUAAACUGGAGGCAUCAUUGUUGGCUCACUGUGUCACUGUCUGCAAGUAUUUCCACCACAGCAUUGAUGACCUUGCCCACAGGUUCUAUGAGCAGCUGCGGCGGAGGUACUAUGUGACAUUGUGACACCCACCUCCUACCUGGAGCUCGUGUUCACCUUCAAGCAGCUCCUCCUUAAGAAGCGCUCAGAGAUCCUCACACUACGGGACAGGUAUGUGACAGGUCUGGAGAAACUGAAAGAGGCCAAGCUGUUGAUCACUGAACUGCAAGAAGAGCUAAAGCUGCUGCAGCCCCGCCUAGUGGAGACCUCUGCCAACACGGAGGCACUUAUGAUC